AGUUUCAGACUGCAGGACUGAGAGCGCUCCUUCAACACAACAGAAACCACGACAACCAUGACUCUGAUCACCAUCUUCAUCUGGACACUGGUCUGCUGCUGCCUCAAAGGAUCCAGAGGUCAGGUGACUGUGACUCAGCCUCCUGUAGUGACAUUCUCUCCAGGAGACCCCGUCACUCUGACCUGUACAACCAACCCUAAAGUGUUCAAAUGGGAUAGUGGAGGUGAGGGUGCGUUCUGGUAUCAACAGAGACCUGGAGAAGCUCCCAAACUCCUGAUAAAAUACGCAAAGAACCUGCUAGAUGGGAUUCCUGCUAGAUUCAGUGGCAGUGGGUCUGAGAGUGACUUCACUCUGACCAUCAGUGGAGUCCAGGCUGAAGAUGCAGCAGUUUACUACUGUAAGAGUUUCCACUAUCCCAAUAGUGAACGUUUGUUCACACAGUGAUUUAGAGCCGUACAAAAACCUCCUG